rnacentral:rRNA from 1 species
CCGCACAAGCGGUGGAGCAUGUGGUUUAAUCGAAGCAACGCGAAGAACCUUACCAGGCCUUGACAUGCAGAGAACUUUCCAGAGAUGGAUUGGUGCCUUCGGGAACUCUGACACAGGUGCUGCAUGGCUGUCGUCAGCUCGUGUCGUGAGAUGUUGGGUUAAGUCCCGUAACGAGCGCAACCCUUGUCCUUAGUUACCAGCACGUUAUGGUGGGCACUCUAAGGAGACUGCCGGUGACAAACCGGAGGAAGGUGGGGGAUGACGUCAAGUCAUCAUGGCCCUUACGGCCUGGGGCUACACACGUGCUACAAUGGUCGGUACAAAGGGUUGCCAAGCCGCGAGGUGGAGCUAAUCCCAUAAAACCGAUCGUAGUCCGGAUCGCAGUCUGCAACUCGACUGCGUGAAGUCGGAAUCGCUAGUAAUCGUGAAUCAGCCAUGGCGCGGUGAAUACGUUCCCGGGCCUU